AGAGUUUGAUCAUGGCUCAGAUUGAACGCUGGCGGAAUGCUUUACACAUGCAAGUCGAGCGGCAGCGCGGGGGCAACCCUGGCGGCGAGCGGCGAACGGGUGAGUAAUGCAUCGGAACGUACCCAUUUGUGGGGGAUAACUAUCCGAAAGGAUAGCUAAUACCGCAUAAGUCCUGAGGGAGAAAGCAGGGGAUCGCAAGACCUUGCGCGAAUGGAGCGGCCGAUGCCGGAUUAGCUAGUUGGUGAGGUAAAGGCCCACCAAGGCGACGAUCCGUAGCUGGUCUGAGAGGAUGAUCAGCCACACUGGAACUGAGACACGGUCCAGACUCCUACGGGAGGCAGCAGUGGGGAAUUUUGGACAAUGGGGGCAACCCUGAUCCAGCCAUUCCGCGUGAGUGAAGAAGGCCUUCGGGUUGUAAAGCUCUUUCGGCAGGAACGAAACGGUGGUCACUAAUACUGGCUACUAAUGACGGUACCUGAAGAAGAAGCACCGGCUAACUACGUGCCAGCAGCCGCGGUAAUACGUAGGGUGCGAGCGUUAAUCGGAAUUACUGGGCGUAAAGCGUGCGCAGGCGGCUCUAUAAGACAGAUGUGAAAUCCCCGGGCUUAACCUGGGAACUGCGUUUGUGACUGUAGGGCUCGAGUGUGGCAGAGGGGGGUAGAAUUCCACGUGUAGCAGUGAAAUGCGUAGAGAUGUGGAGGAAUACCGAUGGCGAAGGC
rnacentral:rRNA from 1 species